rnacentral:lncRNA from 1 species
UUCACUAUAUACAUUGUGGUUUAUCAAAUUGUUCUCAAAGACAGUAUGUCAUAGAGUCAACGAACAUUAGCACGUGGGAACAGUCCCAAAGCUGCUAUCAUUUUAUACAGAAAUAUCCAUAAAAGAAAAUUCAACAUCAUAAGAACUUACAACAUAUAGGUCUCUGCUGGUGAGAACAUCUCCAACAGUUGAAGCAAAUAAUUAAAGGAGAUGUUUUGGAGGGCCUGCC